rnacentral:misc_RNA from 1 species
CUGAGUUGCAGAACUCCCGACCAUUGUGAACCUACCUAUCGUUGCUUCGGCGGGGGGGGCCCUCAGCGGCCUCGCGCCCACCCCCUCGGGGGAGGCAGCCCGCCGGAGGCGUCCAAACUAUAGCAUACAUUGGCCUCUCUGAGUAGCUUAUAAAAUAAGUCA